rnacentral:rRNA from 1 species
GUGAGGAAUAUUGGUCAAUGGGCGAGAGCCUGAACCAGCCAAGUAGCGUGAAGGAUGACUGCCCUAUGGGUUGUAAACUUCUUUUAUAAAGGAAUAAAGUCGGGUAUGGAUACCCGUUUGCAUGUACUUUAUGAAUAAGGAUCGGCUAACUCCGUGCCAGCAGCCGCGGUAAUACGGAGGAUUCGAGCGUUAUCCGGAUUUAUUGGGUUUAAAGGGUGCGUAGGCGGACUGCCAAGUCAGCGGUAAAAUUGCGGGGCUCAACCCCGUCGAGCCGUUGAAACUGGCGGUCUUGAGUGGGCGAGAAGUAUGCGGAAUGCGUGGUGUAGCGGUGAAAUGCAUAGAUAUCACGCAGAACUCCGAUUGCGAAGGCAGCAUACCGGCGCCCGACUGACGCUGAAGCACGAAAGCGUGGGUAUCGAACAGG